CAAUAACGUAUAUUAAAGUUGUUGCGGUUAAAAAGCUCGUAGUUGGAUUUCUGCCGAGGACGACCGGUCCGCCCUCUGGGUGAGUAUCUGGCUUGGCCUGGGCAUCUUCUUGGAGAACGUAGCUGCACUUGACUGUGUGGUGCGGUAUCCAGGACUUUUACUUUGAGGAAAUUAGAGUGUUUCAAGCAGGCAUGCGCCUUGAAUACAUUAGCAUGGAAUAAUAAGAUAGGACCUCGGUUCUAUUUUGUUGGUUUCUAGGACCGAAGUAAUGAUUAACAGGGACAGUUGGGGGCAUUCAUAUUCCAUUGUCAGAGGUGAAAUUCUUGGAUUAACGGAAGAUGAACUUCUGCGAAAGCAUCUGCCAAGGAUGUUUUCAUUGAUCAAGAACGAAAGUUAGGGGAUCGAAGAUGAUCAGAUAGCAU
rnacentral:rRNA from 1 species